UACGGGGGGGGCAAGCGUUGUUCGGAAUUAUCGUGGCGUAAAGGGCUCGUAGGCGGCCAACUAAGUCAGACGUGAAAUCCCUCGGCUUAACCGGGGAACUGCGUCUGAUACUGGAUGGCUUGAGUUUGGGAGAGGGAUGCGGAAUUCCAGGUGUAGGCGGUGAAAUGCGUAGAGAUCAGCAGGAACGACCCGUGGCGAAGGCGGCCCCCUGGGCCGAACCUGACGCCUGAGGCGCGAAGGCUAGGGGAGCGAACGGGG
rnacentral:rRNA from 1 species